UACAGAGGUCUCAAGCGUUUGUUCGGAUUCAUUGGGCGUAAAGGGUGCGUAGGCGGCGCGGUAAGUCGGGGUGUGAAAUCUUGGAGCUUAACUCCAGAACUGCCUUUGAUACUGAAGAUCUUGAGUUCGGGAGAGGUGAGUGGAACUGCGAGUGUAGAGGUGAAAUUCGUAGAUAUUCGCAAGAACACCAGUGGCGAAGGCGGCUCACUGGCCCGAUACUGACGCUGAGGCACGAAAAGCGUGGGGGAGCAAACAGG
rnacentral:rRNA from 1 species